CUGACUUUGGCUUUAUAAUAUUUAGCUGUUCUCUACCUAUGAACUGAAAGAAGUCCGUUGACUUAGUUGGAGGAGAGAAAGUUGAGAAGACAGUCUUCAGAAAUAAUGCAAAUAACAAUUACAUAUGGAUUUGCCCUUCUAAGAAUUCGUACCAUGAUGAUUUGGGUUUUGUCCUGUUAAUUUGUUUUUAAGUAAGAGGGAAGAUUAACUUAGUGAAUAAUACCGAAAAUAAUAUCUGUUGAGUUGUUGUGUUUAGCAUAUUUUCAGGAGCCAUUUAAUUAUUUAAAUAGUUAGAUACAGAGUAUUCUUUCAUAGGACUUUCAAACCCUAUGUGUAUAUGGAUAUAUGCUUAUUUUUAAAACAGUCCUAAAUGACACUUAAUCCAUUCUCUUCCCC
rnacentral:lncRNA from 1 species